rnacentral:rRNA from 1 species
GAUGAACGCUGGCGGCGUGCCUAAUACAUGCAAGUCGAGCGAACUGAUUAGAAGCUUGCUUCUAUGACGUUAGCGGCGGACGGGUGAGUAACACGUGGGCAACCUGCCUGUAAGACUGGGAUAACUUCGGGAAACCGAAGCUAAUACCGGAUAGGAUCUUCUCCUUCAUGGGAGAUGAUUGAAAGAUGGUUUCGGCUAUCACUUACAGAUGGGCCCGCGGUGCAUUAGCUAGUUGGUGAGGUAACGGCUCACCAAGGCAACGAUGCAUAGCCGACCUGAGAGGGUGAUCGGCCACACUGGGACUGAGACACGGCCCAGACUCCUACGGGAGGCAGCAGUAGGGAACCUUCCGCAAUGGACGAAAGUCUGACGGAGCAACGCCGCGUGAGUGAUGAAGGGUUUCGGCUCGUAAAACUCUGUUAUUAGGGAAGAACAAACGUGUAAGUAACUGUGCACGUCCUGACGGUACCUAAUCAGAAAGCCACGGCUAACUACGUGCCAGCAGCCGCCGUAAAAC